UCUAUAGACCUAGAACAGUGCCCGGUCAUAGUGGAUGCCUAGAAAAUGGGGAGAGGCAGUGACAAGAUCUGUGAGCCAUUUGAGACAAAUCAUCCUGGCAGUAAAUUCAGGAAAGCCAGAAGAGACAACUGUGAGGAUGGGGCCGUUGUGAAUUCUAACGAAGCCUCAAGGAGUCAUUUGGGCUCGACGCAUUCGGUCUGGCGCGGGCAGAACCCCCACAGCCGGGAUGAUUCUGUCUGGCUCCCCCCCCCCCCCCCCCCCCGCACAAAGGUCUGGACAUCAAGGCUGUUAUUUUCCAUCUGGAGUCCUGGGAAUUGGGUUGUUAUUGCCGAAGACAAAAGAAUGGGUUUCUACAAUGAUCACCGGGGAGAACAAUGGACCAGAGAGAAACCCUAGACGUUUCCAGAAAGAUGAGGGAUCUGAGGCACCAAGAAGUUUACUAACCUCCCCCGAGACUACCGCGCUCAUAAGCGACCGAGCCGGGAUUUGGUCCUAGGAAGACUGGCUUCAGACAACAUCGGUAUAGUUCAGUAGAUUUCUUUCUGGUUGAGCAAGCCUACCCAUAAAAGGUGUUUCUCUAGUA